CAAGAUGUGUCUAUUAAACAUUUUCAGACAGGAGAAGAAGUUUCUUUUGGAAAGAAAUGGGCCUCAUGUUGCAAAAGUAUCUGUUUUUGAGACUGUCAAAGAACCAUCUAAUUGGGUAUUGUGAGGUAGAUCUGUUUGAUUUUCUUAGCCGGG